rnacentral:rRNA from 1 species
UAUAAACGAUAAACCACGAAAAAUCUUACUUAUUUAAAAGAUUUAGUUUGUAUACCGUCAUUAUAGAGAACUUCAAGAGAAAAAAUUAGUUGUUAGAAUUACUUAUAAGUAGAGAUAUUAGAUCAAGGUGCAGUUAAUAAAUAAGGUAGGAUGGGUUACAAUAUUAAUUAAAAUAAACGGAAUGGGGGAGUGAAAGAUUAACCUCUCAUGAAGGAGGAUUUAAUAGUAAAUAGAUUUUUAAUAAGGUUUAUUGAUAAAGG